CAGGCUUAACACAUGCAAGUCGAGGGGCAACAUGGUCUUAGCUUGCUAAGGCCGAUGGCGACCGGCUCACGGGUGAGUAACGCGUAUCCAACCUGCCUUACACUCUUGGACAGCCUUCUGAAAGGGAGAUUAAUACAAGAUGUUAUCAUGAGUAAGCAUUUUCGCAUGAUUAAAGGUUUACCGGUGUAAGAUGGGGAUGCGUUCCAUUAGAUAGUAGGCGGGGUAACGGCCCACCUAGUCUUCGAUGGAUAGGGGUUCUGAGAGGAAGGUCCCCCACAUUGGAACUGAGACACGGUCCAAACUCCUACGGGAGGCAGCAGUGAGGAAUAUUGGUCAAUGGACGAGAGUCUGAACCAGCCAAGUAGCGUGAAGGAUGAAGGUUCUAUGGAUUGUAAACUUCUUUUAUACGGGAAUAAACGGAUCCACGUGUGGAUUUUUGCAUGUACCGUAUGAAUAAGGAUCGGCUAACUCCGUGCCAGCAGCCGCGGUAAUACGGAGGAUCCGAGCGUUAUCCGGAUUUAUUGGGUUUAAAGGGAGCGUAGAUGGGUUGUUAAGUCAGUUGUGAAAGUUUGCGGCUCAACCGUAAAAUUGCAAUUGAUACUGGCAGUCUUGAGUACAGUUGAGGUAGGCGGAAUUCGUGGUGUAGCGGUGAAAUGCUUAGAUAUCACGAAGAACUCCGAUUGCGAAGGCAGCUUACUAACCUGUAACUGACAUUGAUGCUCGAAAGUGUGGGUAUCAAACAGGAUUAGAUACCCUGGUAGUCCACACGGUAAACGAUGAAUACUCGCUGUAGGCGAUAUACAGUCUGCGGCCAAGCGAAAGCAUUAAGUAUUCCACCUGGGGAGUACGCCGGCAACGGUGAAACUCAAAGGAAUUGACGGGGGCCCGCACAAGCGGAGGAACAUGUGGUUUAAUUCGAUGAUACGCGAGGAACCUUACCCGGGCUUAAAUUGCAACCGAAUAUGGCGGAAACGCUAUAGCUAGCAAUAGCGGUUGUGAAGGUGCUGCAUGGUUGUCGUCAGCUCGUGCCGUGAGGUGUCGGCUUAAGUGCCAUAACGAGCGCAACCCUUGCCGAUAGUUACUAACAGGUCAUGCUGAGGACUCUGUCGGGACUGCCAUCGUAAGAUGUGAGGAAGGUGGGGAUGACGUCAAAUCAGCACGGCCCUUACGUCCGGGGCUACACACGUGUUACAAUGGGGGGUACAGAGGGCUGCUACCACGCAAGUGGAUGCCAAUCCCAAAAACCUCUCUCAGUUCGGAUUGAAGUCUGCAACCCGACUUCAUGAAGCUGGAUUCGCUAGUAAUCGCGCAUCAGCCACGGCGCGGUGAAUACGUUCCCGGGCCUUGUACACACCGCCCGUCAAGCCAUGGGAGCCGGGGGUACCUGAAGUGCGUAACCGCAAGGAGCGCCCUAGGGUAAAACUGGUGACUGGAGCUAAGUC
rnacentral:rRNA from 1 species